AUUGAACGCUGGCGGCAGGCUUAACACAUGCAAGUCGAGCGGAGAUGAGGUGCUUGCACCUUAUCUUAGCGGCGGACGGGUGAGUAAUGCUUAGGAAUCUGCCUAUUAGUGGGGGACAACAUUCCGAAAGGAAUGCUAAUACCGCAUACGUCCUACGGGAGAAAGCAGGGGAUCUUCGGACCUUGCGCUAAUAGAUGAGCCUACGUCGGAUUAGCUAGUGGGUGGGGUAAAGGCCUACCAAGGCGACGAUCUGUAGCGGGUCUGAGAGGAUGAUACGCCACACUGGGACUGAGACACGGCCCAGACUCCUACGGGAGGCAGCAGUGGGGAAUAUUGGACAAUGGGGGAAACCCUGAUCCAGCCAUGCCGCGUGUGUGAAGAAGGCCUUAUGGUUGUAAAGCACUUUAAGCGAGGAGGAGGCUACUGAGACUAAUACUCUUGGAUAGUGGACGUUACUCGCAGAAUAAGCACCGGCUAACUCUGUGCCAGCAGCCGCAGUAAGAC
rnacentral:rRNA from 1 species